GAUGAAGAACGUAGCGAAAUGCGAUAAGUAAUGCGAAUUGCAGAGUUUAGUGAGUCAUCGAGUCUUUGAACGCACAUUGCGCCCCCUGGUAUUCCGGGGGGCAUGCCUGUCCGAGCGUCAUUGCUGCCCUCAAGCACGGCUUGUGUGUUGGGCCUCCGUCCUCCUCCCGGGGGACGGGCCCGAAAGGCAGCGGCGGCACCGCGUCCGGUCCUCGAGCGUAUGGGGCUUCGUCACCCGCUCUUGUAGGCCCGGCCGGCGCUUGCCGACACAUCAAUCUUUUUUCCAGGUUGACCUCGGAUCAGGUAGGGAUACCCGCUGAACUUAAGCAUAUCAAUAAGCGGAGGA
rnacentral:misc_RNA from 1 species